GGCAACAUGGCCGAGUGGUCUAAGGCGCUGGAAUUAGGUGGUUUACACUGUCAAUCUCCCAUCCAGUCUUUCGAGGCGAGGGUUCGAAUCCCUCUGUUGUCA
rnacentral:tRNA from 1 species